rnacentral:rRNA from 2 species
UGGUUAGCGGCGGACGGGUGAGUAACACGUGGGCAACCUGCCUGUAAGACUGGGAUAACACCGGGAAACCGGUGCUAAUACCGGAUAAUCCUUUCCCUCUCAUGAGGGGAAGUUGAAAGUCGGUUUCGGCUGACACUUACAGAUGGGCCCGCGGCGCAUUAGCUAGUUGGUGAGGUAACGGCUCACCAAGGCGACGAUGCGUAGCCGACCUGAGAGGGUGAUCGGCCACACUGGGACUGAGACACGGCCCAGACUCCUACGGGAGGCAGCAGUAGGGAAUCUUCCACAAUGGACGAAAGUCUGAUGGAGCAACGCCGCGUGAGCGAUGAAGGCCUUCGGGUCGUAAAGCUCUGUUGUUAGGGAAGAACAAGUAUCGGAGUAACUGCCGGUACCUUGACGGUACCUAACCAGAAAGCCACGGCUAACUACGUGCCAGCAGCCGCGGUAAUACGUAGGUGGCAAGCGUUGUCCGGAAUUAUUGGGCGUAAAGCGCGCGCAGGCGGUCCUUUAAGUCUGAUGUGAAAGCCCACGGCUCAACCGUGGAGGGUCAUUGGAAACUGGGGGACUUGAGUGCAGAAGAGGAAAGCGGAAUUCCACGUGUAGCGGUGAAAUGCGUAGAGAUGUGGAGGAACACCAGUGGCGAAGGCGGCUUUCUGGUCUGUAACUGACGCUGAGGCGCGAAAGCGUGGGGAGCAAACAGGAUUAGAUACCCUGGUAGUCCACGCCGUAAACGAUGAGUGCUAAGUGUUAAGGGUUUCCGCCCUUUAUGCUGCAGCUAACGCAUUAAGCACUCCCCUGGGGAGUACGGCGCAAGGCUGAAACUCAAAGGAAUUGACGGGGGCCC